AUUGAACGCUGGCGGUAGGCCUAACACAUGCAAGUCGAGCGAUUCUCUUCGGAGAAGAGCGGCGGACGGGUGAGUAACGCGUGGGUAACCUGCCCUGUACACACGGAUAACAUACCGAAAGGUAUGCUAAUACGAGAUAAUAUGCUUUUAUCGCAUGGUAGAAGUAUCAAAGCUUCGGCGGUACAGGAUGGACCCGCGUCUGAUUAGCUAGUUGGUAAGGUAACGGCUUACCAAGGCGACGAUCAGUAGCCGACCUGAGAGGGUGAUCGGCCACAUUGGAACUGAGACACGGUCCAAACUCCUACGGGAGGCAGCAGUGGGGAAUAUUGCACAAUGGGCGAAAGCCUGAUGCAGCAACGCCGCGUGAGCGAUGAAGGCCUUCGGGUCGUAAAGCUCUGUCCUCAAGGAAGAUAAUGACGGUACUUGAGGAGGAAGCCCCGGCUAACUACGUGCCAGCAGCCGCAGUAAAAC
rnacentral:rRNA from 1 species